GUGCUUAACACAUGCAAGUCGAGUGCGCGGCUGUAGCAAUGCAGCUGGCGCACGGCGCACGGGUGCGUAACACGUGGGCAAUCUGCCCUUGGAUGGGGGAUAACCCCGCGAAAGCGGGGCUAAUACCGCAUGACAUUCCGGGAACUCCGGUUCCUGGUUUCAAAGCCGUAAGGCGUCCGAGGAGGGGCCCGCGCCCGAUUAGCUAGUUGGUGAGGUAACGGCUCACCAAGGCUAUGAUCGGUAGCCGGUCUGAGAGGAUGGCCGGCCACACUGGAACUGAGACACGGUCCAG
rnacentral:rRNA from 1 species